rnacentral:lncRNA from 1 species
GAACUCUCCCCUGUGCAAACCACCUCACGAUUUUUCAGGAAGCCAGGGCGAGGAACUUGGAUUCCAAAGCCUAGAGAAAGAUGGCUGACUCGGGGCGGCUGCGCUGCGUUCUCUCCCCUGUGAACUUUGCUCACGUUUUGGACUGGGCAGCAUCUCGCGGUCUGCUCGAGCGGGCUGCCCUUCUGCUUAGAGCUGGACAGUGUUCUCGUCUGCUAGAACGGGAUUUUAUGGUCAACAGGACAUUGCCAUGUGUCACUGCAACACUUAGAGGGUAGUUUGAACUGGGAUUGAAGGUCUGUCUGGCUGCUUUCCCCGGCAGGCCCCAAACUGGCUUGGAUGCAAUUGAGCCAGCAUUUUCCAAGGUACUCUCAUUCACAGUCAUAAGGGACAAACGCAUCUCAUGUGAAAAACUCAAAGGCCAAGGAGGCCAGGGCAUGAAGUAUUAAGUUGAUUUUAUUCGGUUUCACAGAAGGCAGUUCUGUCUUGUUGACUAGCAACAUUGUGACAAAUUGUUCUCGAUUAAAUGCUUAUUAUGUGUUUAUUUAGCUGUUUGCCUGGAACUAGAGAAGAAAAAAAAAUGUGUUACAGUGUAUGGCAAUAUUCUAUCCUUUCAUAAUUGUACCAGAGAAAUAUGGCAUUUUCUCUCCUAAAUUUGUACUUAUUUCGGGCUCUCUCACACUCUCCUGACAAGUCUGAUACUCCAGAACUUCCCAACAAUAAGAGAGACCAGGGAAAACAAACAAAAAAACUUGGUUUUAAUGGAAAAUAAGAGAAGAAGCUAAAUAUAGCUCUUGACUUUCACAGAA